GGGCUGGGGCUCAGUGGCGGAGCACUCGCCUAGCAUGUGUGAGGCCCUGGGUUCGAUCCUCAGCACCACA
rnacentral:tRNA from 1 species